UGUAGUGUGGUGUAGUGGUUUGAGCAUUAGACUAGGACUCUGAGAUCAGGGUUUGAUUCCCUACUUGAUCA